rnacentral:tRNA from 1 species
AAGGGGGUAGCAGAUUGGUUAUGUGGUUGACUUGAAAUCAAAGCAUGGGGGUUCAAUUCCUCCUCCUCUUG